rnacentral:misc_RNA from 1 species
AUAAAUCAUUAGCAAUGACGUCAGUGCAUGCCAUAGUUUGUAAGCCGUGUUACUAUAAGGCCUACGCUUGAACAUUUAUAUUUGGUUUUUAUACAGUUUGAAAUUGGAUUAUGGCUGAAAACAUACCUAAUCUUGGUCACAGCAGGUUACUGCGGUUUCUAUACAUAGGGUCAGAAACAAAUUGUUAUAUUCCAGGUGAUAGAAAAUUAACAUUGGAAAAUAUACACUGCAUUGAUUCCAGUAGUCAAGAGGCAGCAGUAAAAGAAAUCAUAAGAGUAGCAAAAGAAGGCUCAUCGGUGUAUCCUGAUGCACUGCCUUUUGCUCUUGCUGUUUGUUCACAAUCCCAGAAUAUGAAAGUUAAACAAGCAGCCUAUUCAGCAUUGAAAGAAGCAUGUCCAACUGCAUCAGAGUUAUUCAGUUUUGUUCAUUUUGCCGAAGAGGUGAGCAAGCCAACCACAGGUUGGGGAAGAAGUCGCCGAACUGCUGUGGCUAACUGGUACAAAACAGAUCCCAAGAGAUUGGCAGCUUUGAUAACUAGAGUUAUGUCUCAUCGUGGUUGGAGCCAUAAAGAUUUGUUUCGACUGGUACAUUUAAAGACUGAAAAUAAAGGUUUGGCUGCCCUAUACAAAUAUAUUACUCACGGAUAUGAAGCUGCUGAAAAAGAGUUUGGUGUAGCUGAUGCCUCGCCACAAGUCAAGGAUGUAUUGGAGUAUCUGAAGGCUGUUCAUGAGCUGAAGCACACUGCUGAUGAACAGAAGGCUGCUCGUUUAAUUGAGAUGCAUGAUCUAAAUUUUGAACACAUACCAACCCCAAUGCUUAAGUCCAAAGAGAUUUGGCUUUGCCUGAUUCAUAGACUUCCAGUCCAGGUUCUUUUGUCUCAGCUUCCUAGACUCCAUCGACUAGGUUUUCUCAAGCACAAAAGCCCUGUUCUGAAGCCCAUCUUGGAGAGGUUAAACAGUGACAGUACAAUGAAUGAUGGUCACCUUGGUCCAUUACAAACAUUCAUUAUUGCUAAGCAGUUAGAAACAUUGCAGAAGAACCCAGUGGACAAAACUGUUCUUCAAACCUAUUCUAAGCUUUCUCAACUGGAUGAUACCCUCCAGACAUUACACCUUGCUUCAUUCAAGAUGGUUCCUUCAACGGGUAAACGUUAUCUGGUGGCUGUUGAUGUAAGAAACUCUAUGGUCCAUGGGAAAAAAACUUUAGGGUGUCGAUACGUGUCACCUGCUGAUGCUGCAUGUCUUAUUUUGAUGGCAUUGUCUCGAGCUGAAAGUGGGAAAGUAACAGCCCUUGCUUUCUCUAAAGAUGGACUCAAAGACAUAGAGAUUAAUAACAAGAUGACUCACAAUGAUUUUUUCAGAAGAUUAAGAGAAACUCCAAUGGGUCCUGUCAAUGUAGCAGCUCCUCUACAGUGGGCACAAGAGAAGAAAAAAACAUUUGAUGUGAUUUUGGUUUGUACUGCAAAUCAGAUCCAAUCAGGAGAUGUUCAUCCUGCUGAUGCGUUCAAAGAGUACAGAUUGAACUUAAAAUUGCCACAGGCAAGGUUUAUUGUUUGUGCAUUUUCAAGCGGGGAGUUUUCUCUUGCCCCUCCUGAUGAACCGGGUAUGCUAGACAUUGCUGGUUUCAGUGAGAAAGUACUUCAAGUAAUUCAAGAUUUUGCCCGUGGUGUCUUCUAAAAUCAUGCUUUAAGGCUAAAAGCUGAUUACAGUGUGAAUUUUCAAGAAUACAACUGCUACAUGUACAAGAAAAGGAAGAAUAUUCUAAAUAAGUUCAACUGUCAGAAUCACCCAGUUUAGCUAUUAUAAAGCAGUUCCUUUUUUUUCCCUUUUAGUAAGUAUUACCAGCUAUGUUACAAACAUAAUUUUCAUUGUUUUGCAAAUACUUUUUUUUAUAGUUAAUCUUCCAACAUGGUUUCAUGUGUUUAAAAUGUGAAGACUGCAUGUUUCAUUUAGUAUCUUUGUUUUUUCCAGCUUGAAAUUGACUUUUAUACAUGUUGAUAGCAUUAUUACUAAUAUCACUGAGGUGAAUCUUUGGGUUUGUUGUUACUUAGUUUGUCACUGUACAAAAAAAGUCCUGGCAGUUGUGAUAUUUAUGGUGUGAAAAUAAAACAAAUUUACCUCAAUGCUUGAGUAUUAGGAGAUGCUGCAAAGUUUGCAACUGUUAGACUAGUAAUAUCCCAGAUGAAGAAGUUAACCAAACUGGAAAAAAGUGUUUGUGACUGUUAUAUCAAUGAUGCCUUUUGAGAAAGUUUUUUUUGUUUUUUGUGUAUGUUUGUGUACUUGUAAAUUUGUAAUAUUUUGUUUGCAGUUUUCUCUUACUUCGUAUCAUGAUAACCUCAUGUAUUACAGAAUGAAAUUUAGCAGUACCUACUGUAGUGUUUUUACGCAUACACACACAUUGUAGAGGUGGAUCUAAUGAUGUUUAUGUAAAGCUGUUAUACAUCUGGGUGUUAUGCUUUUCUAUACAAAAUAUGUACUUUUAAAUUUUUUGUGGUGAGUUCUUGCAUACUUUUUAUUCACAAAAACAAAAUCACUGUCAUGACAAAAUCACAUUCAUCAGGGGCCAUUUUCAGUGCAAGAUUUUGACUAGAAACUGUCAAGUUUGCUCUUUUUUUUAUCAUUUAAUUUUAUGAAUCAAAUUUACCAUGAUAACUCAAUGUACAUUUUCAGAAACUAAAUAUAGUUAGAUGUGUCUUAAAACUUCUCUUUCAUCAUGUGUUAUUAAGAUUGAUAUAACUCAAUAUUUUUCAUUAUUGUUAUAUGAAUUUAUUUGUCUAUCAAAAACAAUACCUCUCAUUGCAUUUAAUAGAAACAAUUAAUUGAAAAUUAUAGUUGACAAAAAUGGCUCAAUGCAUCAGUUUGUUUUUAGAUUGUUCGUCACAAUAAUUGAGCUAUUUAAUGUUGAUUCAGCAACUAGAUUGCAUUAUCAAGAGAGCUGUUAGCCAUAUUGAAGCAGUAAAUAAAAGUAUUGUUAGUAUUUUUUCCCCAAUAAGAGAAGGAAAAGUUAAAAUGUUUCAAAAAAAAGUAAUAAAAGUGUUACAGUAAUUCUGUAAAUCUUUUCUUAAAAACAUUUUUGUUUAAAGGUGUUUAAGUAGUAUCACUAUGAAAUGGAUAUUAAGUUGAUGACAUUUUUUGCUCUCUACAACAAUUUUGCAUUGAUUUUCCUGACCAUUGCCUAUUUUGUAGCACAUAUAUAUAAAAAUGGAGAUGGAGAAUCAUGUAAAACUGUUUGAUUAGUAGCACUAAAGUGGUGGAAUUAUUGUUUAGAGGUAGAUGAAUAUUAUGCCCUAGUAUACGUUUAAUAAUAAGUUGAAAAUGUGCCUGUGAACCAUUUCGUAUUGUUGAAGGGUCUACUGUGUAUUUACAACAAAUUAUGUUAACUUUACACAAUAAGAAAUAAUUUUAUAGUAUCCUGUAUUGUGAUUUAUUGUUUAUAUGCAGCAGUUACUGGGUGAGUAGGUUACUAUCGCUGCUAUUAGAAUAGUAUACAUAUAGAUUUUAUUGUUGGACUCUUCUCUAAUUGCUAUUUUCUGAACCACAAACUUGUACAUUUCCCCAAGGAUCUUCAUAAAGUACAAAUAUGAAAGAGCAGUUGGUCUAAAGUUUGUCUUGUUUAAUAGCAGUUUUGUGGUACUAUUAAAAGAAAAAUGCAUCUUUGUUUUAAAGUAUUUGACAAAAAUAUCUAAAAUUAAAAUCAAAACUUGCUGGUCUCUUUUUACUAUUAUUAUUAAAAGGUAUUUAUAAACAUUUAGAAUUUAUAAGGUUUGCAGAACGUUGGAUGAAGUCACUGAAAAUAUAAUCUAAAAGUGAAACAUUUUGAAAAGGUCCCCAAUACUAUUUUAAAACUCUUUCAAAAAAUAUUAAUUAAAUCCAGAAAGUAACAACCUUUAUCAGACUGUCUACAUGUGGAAAGAUGACACCUGAACACACAGUAAUGUAUCAAAAACUUUUAAUAUAGAAGAAAGUUAAAUAUAAUAUUGUAAACAAAUAACUAAGUGAAUUGAUUAUAGGUUUGUCUUCUACUGCCAACAGGUAAUUUAACAAGUUUUUUAAUCUAUAUGUAUAUAUGAGUGUAGAAUAUCAAGGAAAGUGUGAAACUUUAUAGAUAAAUCUAGGUUAAAGAAAUUUAAGUAAUUUUACCUGCAGUUUCCUUUUUGAAAAAAAAAAAAUUGCACUAACUUCAGGAAAUAUCUUAGUUUCACAUCACUUUUUUUAUUAUGUUAAUGAGAAUCAUUAUAAGAUUAAAAACCUUUAACACUCUGAGUACAGUAAUGUCACACCUUAAUGUACAUUUGGUUAGAAAUGAUUUAUUGAUUAUAAUAAAUUGGCUAUAUUGCUACAAU